ncrna:Mesonia mobilis DSM 19841 L19-Flavobacteria ribosomal protein leader
CAACCUCUGGCGAUAGUCGCGAAUGUUG